rnacentral:tRNA from 1 species
GGUUGUGUCUCAGUGGUAAAGCACUUGCCUAGAAUGUGUGAGACACUGGGUUCAAUUCCCAGCACCA